UACAUAGGGUGCGAGCGUUAAUCGGAAUUACUGGGCGUAAAGCGCGCGUAGGCGGCUUUGCAAGUCGGGUGUGAAAUCCCCAGGCUUAACCUGGGAACUGCAUUCGAGACUGCAUUGCUAGAGUAUGGGAGAGGGAAGUGGAAUUUCCGGUGUAGCGGUGAAAUGCGUAGAUAUCGGAAGGAACAUCAGUGGCGAAAGCGACUUCCUGGACCAAUACUGACGCUCAUGUGCGAAAGCGUGGGGAGCAAACAGG
rnacentral:rRNA from 1 species